UCGAUCGAGAAGAGGAUGCACUUAUCAUGUGGACUUCCAGUAUAGUGGGCCUUAUAAACGCUGCAAAAAUUACCACAAACUAUAACCAACAUGUGUUAACAUCAAGUAUUUCCUUCACUCAUCUUCAACCAUUGAGAGGUCAUCACAAUAUAAACUGUACAUUAGAUGUUCUAUCUAGUUGUGGAAAGAACCAGUCCGUAAUGUAUACGUUCAAUGCUGAAUCCUUAGAUGUACCAAGCAAGGAACGAGCAACCAACUAUUACCACGCAGUUGAGUACAUUACAAUGAUUUACUCAUUAUUUAUUGGUACUGUAGUCCUUGUAAUUUAGAGAAUAAAGUGUCGUGUCGUACCGUGAACUGAUGAAUAGUACCACUGGAUUGCCUAUCUAGUUUCCAAGUCAGGUAUUUUUAGGUGUGUUUUCACUUGACAUAGCCUAAAUAAGUGUAUGGAAACAUUCUCUCAUCUAUGAGUUAUAUUCAGCAAGUGAAUUUCAACACGGUAUAGCCGUAUUAUUAAUAUGGUGUUUUUUCAUUGACGUAACCAAUCAGUCUAUUUUUUUUCAAAAUGUUGAUCAGAAAAUGUGUUAAAGAUAUAUGAAUUGUAAAAUUGAUAUUAACAAAGAACUCUUAAAUGUUUAUUUCUUUUUUCAUUAAUUUAGAUUGAUUUCUUUAUUCUAUUCCUUAUUAAAUGCAAUAGAUUAGCUUAGCUUUUUUUAAAUUGCCAGCCUCUCCACCACUGCCACCACCUAUGGGGUAUUUGUAAUACCGUAGUUUGUUUUCAUCAAUUAUAUAUUUAUCAGAUCUUAUUUUGUUAAGUUCUAAAUAACAACAUUCAAUAUAUUACUUUCAUUAUGUUCUAAUAUAUAAAAGUAUUUAAUGAAAAUAUUUAAGUAUUGAUAUACGAAUGUCUAUUAUUAGUCCUCAUGAGUCUUAUUUAUAAUUAUAUCACUCUCCUAUUUUAGUUUUAAUGUAUAAUGGGAGUGAUGUACAGCUUCAGCUUGAAGUAUGAACAAUCAAUAUAAGGGUUCAUCAACAUCGACAAAAUAUUAGGCAUUUGUUGCUUGUGCUAUAUUUACCAAACUGUAUAAUCGUACUACAAAAGUGUAAUUUAGAAAAAAAAUGAUACCUAUAACUUAUAGAAGGCCAACUGUUUCUCUAUUUAAGAAAAACAAAUGGAAAUUUUCUGCAGUCGUUGUUAAUAACUACAUAUAUAAAGAUGAUGUAUCAAGGUGUCAAUAUUUCUACAAAAUAAAAAUUUUUAAUAUUGUUAUUAUUAUUAUAAGUCUACUAUAUAACAUAUUUGAUUUGUUGAUCGUUUGUAUAUUAACAUGUAUGGUGCAAGCCCCAAUAUUACCAUUAAUUUUAGACAUUAAUGAAAUAAAAGUGGGCUUUGGUUGUAUUUGUUAUUUUUUUUUUAUUGUGGUUGAACCUCCUUUUACUUUAGCAUAUUUUGUCAUUUGUUGAAUCAGAGUUAUGGGUACACUCAAUGUAAUGUUUAAGUCUUAUUGUGUUAUAGAAAUGUGUACAUGUGAUUUUGCUGCGGUUAGUUUUUGGUUGGUUUCUGUUGACAGUAAUUUGUAGUCUAGAAAAAAAAAAUCUAAAAAGAGGCCUACAAAUCCCCUUAGAAGGAGUUGAAUGUUAGAAGCAGUCACCCAUGCCAGAUGUAUGUUUGACACUAUCUGGUCACCCCUAGCCUGGGUGACACUUUCGCUAACAUUCCGAAAAACUCACCUCCAUCAUAUGUUCCUUUCAUAUGCAAAUUAUUUGAAAUAGGUUAUGAAAAAUGAAGAAAAUGCAGUGUUUAUGUAUCUUUGUAAUAAGCGGUUUCAAAGAUACAUAAAUGCAGUGUUUAUGUAUCUUUGAAACCGCUUAUUACAUGUUUCAAUUCAAUGUAAUGAACAAGAUAAUCUGAGAUUAAUAGCCCUCGCUCUGCUGCUCCCAUAUAUUUGUAUAUAGUCACUGGUUUUUGUUGUAUUAUAGGGGUGUAAUAUUAUUAGCUAUACAUAUCAGGUGAAACAUAGCUGGUGUUUAAAAAUGUACACAUAUGUAGUGUAAAGUUAAUCGAACGUAUGGGGUUCUAGUCUCCUUUUUUUUUGUUAUUUUUAUUAUUUGUGCAUCAGUAGAAUACAUUUUUUAAAUAUUUUAUUAUUUUUCACAAUUACUUUUACAGGUAUGAGCGAUUCCACUUGUACCACCUCCGGGAAAAACCAUUUUAAAAGUCGUACAACCUAGGAAUUGCUAUGU
rnacentral:lncRNA from 1 species